AGACCCGGAAGCGGAUCGCGGGGAGUGAAGGCUGCGCCGCCGAGCCUGAGUUUCGCUCUCUCUAGAUUAAAUCUGCGCUUCGCAGUCCCCCUUCUUCCAUCCCCCGGGUCUGGAGGGGUCCCUACAGAUCUUAAAAUGACCACACCGCGCCCUCCACCCCAGAUUAACCUUUAAAGACUCAUGUGGCCUGAGGAAGAAGUCCAGAAGAGAAGAAAGAGGAGACAGGGAUGGCUCUUUCUCAAGGAAGGUUGACAUUCAGGGACGUGGCCAUCGAAUUCUCUCAGGAGGAGUGGAAAUGCCUGGACCCUGCUCAGAGGGCUUUGUACAGGGACGUGAUGUUGGAGAACUACAGGAACCUGGUCUCCCUGGGAAUCUCUCUUUCUGAAAUGAGUAUUACCUCCAUGUUGGGGCAAGGGAAAGAGCCCUGGACUGUGGAGAGUGAAGUGAAAAUAACAAAAACAUCAAGUGGUUGGGAAUGCAUCAAAGGUGUGAACACAGGUAAGAGCUCAAAUGGACAGAGAGGAAGCUGCACCAUUAGUAUUCAGGUAACUCCUUCCGAGUUGAAGAGUUCUGUGGAACAAAAAGGGUUUAAAUCCUGUGAGCUCUCAAUGGAAACCUUUCUUUGCCCUCAUUUAUCCCUCUGCUCUUCUGACGUGUAGUAGUUUAUCCUUUCACACUCCCAUGGCGCUACAGCUCCAACAGUGACAAAGGCAAAGUCUUUAUCAUGAUGGACAACACCCUGUCAUGUGGCUUCUGUGACCUCUUUGGUUUCUUCACUCUGAGGGGCACAGGGAGGGUUGUGUCCAAGAGGUCUCCUGUGAUCUCUCCUGUACCUGACUGCGUCUGAUGCUCAGUUCUCUGUCUAUACAGAUCAGAGCUGAGGCCUCCAUGGACCUGCCCCCUUGACCUAUUCAGGUUUUGCCCCAUUUCCUGUACUUGGGAGACCUAAUCAGGUGACGGGAAAACAUUGGCAGCUCCUCCUUUGCAUCUGGGGCUCCGGAAACCUCAUGGUGCUGUCUCCAGCCCUGUCUGUCUGUCAAAGUCUUUCAGCCUCAGUCAUUUCUUCUGUUCUGCUUUUGCCACAGAUUGCAGUGUGCGCCACAGGGGAGUACACGGGGUUUUCUGAGAUUGUUUACUCAGGUCUGGAAUGGCACUAGACAGAGAGGUCCUCUUUUUUUUUUUCUUCGAGACAGAGUCUGGCUCUCUUGCCCAGGCUGUGAUGCAGUGGUGAGAUCUCAACUCACUGGAACCUCUGCCUCCCAGGUUCAAGUAAUUCUCUUCCCUCAGCCUCCUGAGUAGCUGGAACUACAGGCACAUGUCACCACACCUGGCUAAUUUUUGUAUUUUUUUAAAAAUUAUUAUACUUUAAGUUUUGGCAUACAUGUGCAGAACGUGCAGGUUUGUUACAUAGGUAUACGUGUGCCAUGGAGGUUUGCUGCACCCAUCAACCCGUCAUCUAUAUUAGGUAUUUCUCCUAAUGCUAUCCCUCCCCUACCUCCCCAUCCCCUCCACAGGCCCUGGUAUGUGAUGUUCCCCCUCCCUGUGUCCAUGUGUUCUCAUUGUUCAACUCCCACUUAUGAGUGAGAACAUGCAGUGUUUGGUUUUCUGUUGUGUUAGUUUGCUGAGAAUGAUGGUUUCCAGCUUCAUCCAUGUCCCUGCAAAGGACAUGGACUUAUCCUUCUUUAUGGCUGCAUAGUAUUCCAUGGUGUAUAUGUGCCAUAUUUUCAUUAUCCAGAAACUAAUAUUUCUGGAUAAUGGGCAUUUGGGUUGGUUCCAAGUCUUUGCUGUUGUGAAUAGUGCCACAAUAAACAUACGUGUGCAUGUGUCUUUGUAGUAGAAUGAUUUAUAAUCCUUUGGGUAUAUACCCAGUAAUGGGAUUGCUGGGUCAAAUGGUAUUUCUAGUUCUACAUCCUUGAGGAAUUGCCACACUGUCUUCCACAAUGGUUAAACUAAUUUACACUCCCACCAACAGUGUAAAAGCAUUCCUAUUUCUCCACAUCCUCUCCAGCAUCUGUUGUUUCCUGACAUUUUAAUGAUCAGCAUUCUAACUGGCAUGAGAUGCUUUCUCAUUGUGGUUUUGAUUUGUGUUUCUCUAAUGACCAGUGAUGAUGAGCUUUUUUUCAUAUGUUUCUUGGCCACAUAAAUGUCUUCUUUUGAGAAGUGUCUGUUCAUAUCCUUCGCAUAGAUGUUCAUGAGGGAUAUUGGCCUGAAAUUUUCUUUUUUUGUUGUGUGUCUGCCAGGUUUUGGUAUCAGGAUGAUGCUGGCCUCAUUAAAAUGAAUUAGGGAGGAUUCCCUCUUUUUCUGUUUGGAAUAGUUUCAGAAGGAAUGGUACCAGCUCCUCUUUGUACCUCUGGUAGAAUUCGGCUGUGAAUCUGUCUGGUCCUGGACUUUUUUUGGUUGGUAGGCUAUUAAUUACCGCCUCAAUUUCAGAACUUGUUAUUGGUCUAUUCAGGGAUUCGACUUCUUCCUGGUUUAGUCUUGGGAGGGUGUAUGUAUCCAGGAAUUUAUCCAUUUCUUCUGGAUUUUCUAGUUUAUUUGUGUAGAGGUGUUUAUAGUAUUCUCUGAUGGUAGUUUGUAUUUCUGUGGGAUUGGUGGUGAUAUCCCCUUUAUAAUUUUUAUUGCAUCUAUUUGAUUCUUCUCUCUUUUCUUCUGUAUUAGUCUGGCUAGUGGUCUAUCUAUUUUGUUGAUCUUUUCAGAAAACCAGCUUCUGGAUUCGUCUAUUUUUUGAUGGAUUUUUCGUGCCUCUAUCUCCUUCACUUCUGCGCUGAUCUUAGUUACUUCUUGUCUUCUGCUAGCUUUUGAAUUUAUUUGCUCUUGCUUCUCUAGUUCUUUUAAUUGUGAUGUUAGGGUGUUGAUUUUAGAUCUUUCACGCUUUCUCUUGUGGGCAGUUAGUGCUAUAAAUUUCCCUCUACACAUUGCUUUUAAUGUGUCCCAGAGAUUCUGGUAUGUUGUGUCUUUGUUCUCAUUGGUUUCAAAGACUGCCUUCAUUUCAUUAUUUACCCAGUAGUCAUUCAGGAGAAGGUUGUUCAGUUUCCAUGUAGUUGUGCAGUUUUGAAUGAGUUUCUUAAUCCUGAGUUCUAAUUUGAUUGCACUGUGGUCUGAGAGACGGUUUGUUAUGAUUUCCAUUCUUUUGCAUUUGCUGAGAAGUGUUUUACUUCCAAUUAUGUGGUCAAUUUUAGAAUAAGUGCGAUGUGGUGCUGAGAAGAAUGUAUAUUCUGUUGAUUUGGGGUGGAGAGUUCUGUAGAUGUCUAUUAGGCCUGCUUGGUCCAGAGUUGAGUUCAAGUCCUGGAUAUCCUUGUUAGUUUUCUGUCUCAUUGAUCUGUUUAAUAUUGACAGUGGGGUGUUAAAGUCUCCCACUAUUAUUGUGUGGGAGUCUAAGUCUCUUUGUAGGUCUCCAAGAACUUGCUUUAUGAAUGUGGGUGCUCCUGUAUUGGGUGCAUAUAUAUUUAGUAUAGUUAGCUCUUCUGGUUGCAUUGAUCCUUUACCAUCAUGUAAUGCCCCUCUUUGUCUCUUUUGAUCUUUGUUGGUUUAAAGUCUGUUCUAUCAGAGACUAGGAUUGCAACCCCUGCUUUUUUUGCUUUCCAUUUGCUUGGUAGAUAUUCCUCCAUCCCUUUAUUUUGAGUAUAUGUGUGUCUUUGCAUGUGAGAUGGGUCUCCUGAAUACAGCACACCGAUGGGUCUUGACUCUUUAUCCAAUUUGCCAGUCUGUGUCUUUUAAUUGGGGCAUUUAGCCCAUUUACAUUUAAGGUUAAUAUUGUUACGUGUGAAUUUGAUCCUGUCAUUAUGAUGCUAGCUGGUUAUUUUGCUCAUUAGUUGAUGCAGUUUCUUCAUAGUGUCGAUGGUCUUUACAAUAUGGUAUGUUUUUGCAGUGGCUGGUACCAGUUGUUCCUUUCCAUGUUUAGUGCUUCCUUCCUUAUAAGGCAGGCCUGGUGGUGACAAAAUAUCUCAGCAUUAGCUUGUCUGUAAAGGAUUUGAUUUCUCCUUCACUUAUGAAGCUUAGUUUGGCUGGAUAUGAAACUCUGGGCUGAAAAUUCUUUUCUUUAAGAAUGUUGAAUAUUGGCCCCCACCCUCUUCUGGCUUGUAGAGUUUCUGCCAAGAGAUCUGCUGUUAGUCUUAGGGCUUCCCUUUGUGGGUAACCUGACCUUUCUCUCUGGCUGCCAUUAACAUUUUUUCCUUCAUUUCAACCUUGGUGAAUCUGACGAUUAUGUAUCUUGGGGUUGCUCUCCUUGAGGAGUAUCUUUGUGGUGUUGUCUGUAUUUCCUGAAUUUGAAUGUUGGCCUGUCUUGCUAGGUUGGAUAAGUUCUCCUAUAAUAAUAUCCUGAAGGGUAUUUUCCAACUUGGUUCCAUUCUCCCCAUCACUUUCAGGUACACCAAUCAAAUGUAGAUUUGGUCUUUUCACACAGUCCCAUAUAUCUUGGAGGCUUUGUUCAUUUCUUUUCACUCUUUCUUCUCUAAUCUUGUCUUCUCACUUUAUUUCAUUAAGUUGAUCUUCAAUCUCUGAUAUCCUUUCUGCUGCUUGAUCAAUUCAGUUAUUGAUACUUAUGUAUGCCUCAUGGAGUUCUCAUGCUGCGUUUUUCAGCUCCAUCAGGUCAUUUAUGUUCUUCUCUAAAGUGGUUAUUCUAGUUAGCAAUUCAUUUAACCUUUUUUCAAGGUUCUUUUCUUCCUUGCAUUGGGUUAGAACAUGCUCCUUUAGCUCAGAGGAGUUUGUUAUUACCCACCUUCUGAGGCCUACUUCUGUCAAUUCGUCAAACUCAUUCUCCUAGUUUUGUUCCCUUGCUGGUGAGGAGUUGUGAUUCUUUGGAACAGAAGAGGCAUUCUGGUUCUUUUUGUGCUGGUUUCUCCCCAUCUUUGUGGAUUUAUCUACCUUUGGUCUUUGAUAUUGGUGACCUUCAGAUGGGGUCUCUGAGUGGAUGUCCUUUUAGUUGAUGUUGAUACUAUUCCUGUUUGUUAGUUUUCCUUCUAACAGUCAGGCCCCUCUGCUCCACGUCUGCUGGAGUUUGCUGGGGGUCUACUCCAGACCCUGUUUGCCUGGGUAUCACCAGCAGAGACUGCAGAACAGCAAAGAUUGCUGCCUGUUCCUUCCUCUGGAAGCUUCAUCCCAGAGGGGCACCCGCCAGGUGCCAGCCAGAGCUCUCCUGUACGAGGUGUCUGUCGGCCCCCUACUGGGAGGUAUCUCUCAGUGAGGAUACAUGGGGGGCCAAAGACCCACUUGAGGAGGCAGUCUGUCCUUUAUCAGAGCUCAAACGCCGUGCUGGGAGAUCCGCUGCUGUCUUCAGAGCUAUCAGGCAGGGACGGUUAAGUCUGCUGAAGCUGCUCCCACAGCCGCCUCUUCCCCCAGGUGCUCUGUCCCAGGGAGAUGGGGGUUUUAUCUAUAAGUCCCUGAUUGGGGCUGCUGCCUUUUUUUCAGAGAUGCCCAGCCUAGAGAGGAGGAAUCUAGAGAGGCAGUCUGGCCGCAGUGGCCUUGCUGAGCUGUGGUGGGCUCUGCCCAGUUCAGACUUUCCGGCAGCUUUGUUUACAUUGUGAGGGUAAAACCGCCUACUCAAGCCUCAGCAAUGGCGGAUGCCCCUCCCCCCACCAAGCUCAAGUGUCCCAGGUCGACCUCAGACUGCUGUGCUGGCAGUGAGAAUUUCAAGUCCAUGGAUCUUAGCUUGGUGGGCUCCGUGGGGGUGGGACCCCCCAAGCCAGACCACUUGGCUCCCUGGCUUCAGCCCCCUUUCCAGGGGAGUGAACAGUUCCGUCUUACGGGUGUUCCAGGUGCCACGGGGGUAUGAAAAAAAAACUCCUGCAGCUAGCUCGGUGUCUGCCUAAACGUCCACCCAGUUUUGUGCUUGAAACCCAGGGCCCUGGUGGCGUAGGCACUGGAGGGAAUCUCCUGGUCUGCCGGUUGUGAAGACUGUGGGAAAAGCACAGUAUCUGGGCCAGAGUGCACCGUUCCUCAUGGCACAGUCCCUCACAGCUUCCCUUGGCUAGGGAGGGAAAUCCCCCAACCCCUUGCACUUCCCUGGUGAGGUGACGCCCCACCCUGCUUUCUCUUGCACUCUGUAGGCUGCACCCACUAUCCAACCAAUUCCAGUGAGAUGAAGUGGGUACCUCAGUUGGAAAUGCAGAAAUCACCUGCCUUCUGUGUCGAUCUCGCUGGGAGCCGCAGGCCAGAGCUGUUCCUAUUUGGCCAUCUUGCCAGCAAAUCCCUAAUUUUUGCAUUUUUAAUGGAGAUGAGGUUUCACCAUGUUGGCCACCUGGUCUGGAACUCCUAACCUCAGGUGAUCUGCCUGUCUUGGCCUCCCAAAGUGCUGGGAUUACAGGCGUGAGCCACUGCACCCGGCCGAUAUAUUUUUCAAUAUGAACUACUGAUUUGCCAACUGUAGUUAAUAGAAAACCUGUUUUUUAAAUAUCUUGUAGAUGUCUCUCCUACACAUAUGAUCAAGGAAUUACCACCAAAAGAGAACAAUAGCACAGGAAAAGUAUUCCAAGCAGUGAUGUUGGAAAGACAUGAAAUCCAUGACAUCCAAGAUUUUUACUUCAGAGAAAUGCAGCAAAAUAUUCAUGACUUUGAGUGUCAGUGUCACAAUGAUGAGAGAAAUUACAGAGAAAUACCUGCAAUUAAAAUUAAAAACAUCACUGGAAGAAGAGAUCAAGGUGAUGGAAGGAAUGCAGGAAAUAAGCCAGUUGAAAAUCAGCUUGAACUAAGCUUUUGGUUGCAUCUGGCUGAACUGCAGGGAUUUCAAAUUGAAAGGAAAAUUUAUGAAUGUAAUCAAAUUGAGAAGUCUGUCACCCGUGGGUCCUCAGUUUCAUUACUUCAAACAAAUCUUCCUUGUGUCAACACCAGCAUUUCUAAUAUAUACAGGAAUGAUUUUAUGCAUCCUUCAUUACUCACACAAGACCAGAAAGCAUACAUUAGGGAAAAACCUUACAAAUGUAGUGAUUGUGGCAAGGCCUUUAAUCAGAGGUCCAACCUUACUACACAUCAGAGAAUCCAUACUGGACAGAAACCACAUAAAUGUGACAUAUGUGGCAAAGGUUUCAGGCGAAUUGCAAACCUAGCAAGUCAUCAUAGAAUUCAUACUGGAGAGAAACCUUACAGAUGUAAUGAGUGUGGCAAGACCUUCAAUCAGACGUUCAACCUUACUACACAUCAGAGAAUCCAUACUGGACAGAAACCAUAUAAAUGUGAUAGAUGUGGCAAAGGUUUCAGGCAAAUUGGAAACCUAGCAAGUCAUCAUAGAAUUCAUACUGGAGAGAAACCUUACAGAUGUAACGAGUGUGGCAAGACCUUUAACAGGAUGUUCCACCUUACUAGACAUCAGAGAAUCCAUACUGGACAGAAACCAUAUAAAUGUGAUAUAUGUGGCAAAGGUUUCAGGCAAAUUGCAAACCUAGCAAGUCAUCAUAGAAUUCAUACUGGAGAGAAACCUUACAAAUGUAGUGAUUGUGGCAAGACCUUUAAUUACAGGUCCCACCUUACAAGACAUCAGAGAAUCCAUACUGGACAGAAACCGUAUAAAUGUGAUACAUGUGGCAAAGAUUUCAGUCAAAAUUCAUACCUUGAAAAUCAUCAGAGAAUUCACACUAGAGAGAAAUCUUACAGAUGUAAUGAGUGUGGCAAGACCUUUAAUAAGAUGACCAACCUUACUACACAUCAGAGAAUCCAUACUGGACAGAAAACAUAUAAAUGUGAUAUAUGUGGCAAAGGUUUCAGGCAAAUUGGAAACCUAGCAAGUCAUCAUAGAAUUCAUACUGGAGAGAAACCUUACAGAUGUAAUGAGUGUGGCAAGACCUUCAAUAGGAUGUUCCACCUUACUAGACAUCAGAGAAUCCAUACUGGACAGAAACCAUAUAAAUGUGAUAUAUGUGGCAAAAGUUUCAGUCAAAAUUCAUACCUUGAAAAUCAUCAGAGAAUUCACACUGGAGAGAAAACUUACAAGUUGUAAUUAGUGUGGCAAAGCCUUUAGCGUGCGCUCAAACCUAACUAAACAUCAGGUCAUCCAUAAUGGAGAGAGACCUUAUAAAUGUAAUGAGUGGGACAAGGCUUUUUUUUCAGAGUUCAAAAUUGUAAAACAUCACAGGAUUCAUUCUGGAGAGAAACAAAACAAAAGUAAUGAAUGUAGUAAGGCAUUUAUUCAAAAUUCAAGUCUGGUGGACCAUCAGAGAACUCACACUGGAGAGAAACCUUACAAGUGUAAUGAGUGUGGUAAAACCUUUAUUGGGCAUUCAAGCCUAACUAACCAUCAGGUAAUUCAUACUGGAGAGAAACCUUACAAAUGUAAUGAGUGUGGAAAGGCUUAUGUGAAGUGGUCCCACCUUAGACAUCAUGAGAGUAUUCAAACUGGAGAGAAGCCAUACAAAUGUACCAAAUGCAGCAAGGCCUUUAGACAAUGGGCGGACAUCAGGAUUCACCAAAAAAUCUAUGCUGGAGAGAAACCUCACAAGUAUGAUGAGUGUGGAAAAACCUUUACCCAGGCCUCUCACCUCACUAUACAUCAGAUUAUCCAUACUGGAGAGAAACCAUAUGAAUAUGACAUAUAUGGCAAAGUCUUCAGUCAAAAUUCACAUUUCAAAAGUUAUCAUAGGAUUUGUACUGAAGAGAAGCCUUACAAAUGUGUGUGGCAAGGUCCUCAGUCAAAAUUCACACCUUGUAAAUCAUCAGAGAAUUCAUACUGGAGAGAAAUCCUACAGAUGUCAUGAAUGUGGCAAAGCCUUUACUCAAGGCUCACGCUUCAUUAAUCAUCAGAUAGUUCAUACUGGAGAGAACUUUCCAAAUGUACUGAAUGUAGCAAGGCUUUUAAGAAUGGCCCUAAACUCAGGACUCACCAAAUAGAUCAUACUUGUAAAUGCAAUGAAUGUAGCAGUGUUUUAAAGUAGUGCUUGCUACUCAUUAGAUAAGAGUAUCUAAUAUAUCUUGGGGCAAAGGCACACAAAUGCAAUGUCUGUGACAAGGAUUUUAUCUGAGGAUCAAAAGUUGGGGAACAGAAUAAUUCGUACUGGGGAGAAACCUUAGAAAUCCAAUGAGCAUGGGAAAAACUUUACCAUGAGUUCAAGUACUACAAGACAUCAGAGAGUUCAUAUUGAAGAGAAACCAUGUAAAUAUAAGGUAUGUGGCAGAGGCUCUUUUCAGGUUUCACAGUGCACUGGACAUCAGAGUAUACAUCUUUUGCCGGGCGCGGUGGCUCACACCUGUAAUCCCAGCACUUUCGGGAGGCUGAGGUGGGUGGAUCACCUGAGGUCAGGAGUUUGAAACCACCCUGGCCAACAUGGCGAAACGCUGUCUCUAUUAAAAAUACAAAAAUUAGCUGGGCGUGGUGGUAGGUGCCUGUAAUCCCAGCUACUCAGGAGGCUGAGGCACGAGAAUUGCUUGAACCUGGGAGAUGGAGGUUGCAGUGAGCUGAGAUCAUGCCACUGCACGCCAGCCUGGGCGACAGAGGAAGACUCCGUCUCAAAAAACAAAACAAAACAAAAAAACAGAGUAUACAUCUUUUAGAGAAAUCAAAGUAACAUGCAUGCUAAAGCUUUUUUUUUUUUUUUUUUGAGAUGGAGUCUUGCACUGUCGCCCAGGUUGGAGUGCAUUGGCCCGAUCUUGGCUCACCACAACCUCCGCCUCCUGGAUUCCAGCAAUUCUGCCUCAGCCUCCCAAGUAGCUGGGACUACAGGCGCGUGCCACCACACCCGGUUAAUUUUUUGUAUUUUUUAGUAGAUACGGGGUUUCACCAUAUCGGCCAGGCUGGUCUCGAACUCCUGACCUCGUGAUCUGCCUGCCUCAGCCUCCCAAAGUGCUGGGAUUACAGGCUUGAGCUCCUGCGCCCAGCCCAUGCUAAGUCUUUUACCCAGUGGUCAAAACUGGCACAACACAGGAUUUAUACUGGAGAGCAACCUCACAAAUGUAAUGAAAGUGGUAAGGCUUUUUAUCAAAUGUCCUUGUCUUUGGGGUCAUGAGAAAAUUCAUACAGAAUCUAUUAAAAAUGUACUAAACAUGGAAAGACCUUUAAGCAACAGUGAUGUGAUGAAGGUGGUAGUUUUUUAAAUGAACUCCCAUAAGAGUCUACACACCAUAGAACUCAUACCAGGAAUCACAAAGUCUCUAAAUUUCCAAAGUUAACUGGAAAUAUUACAAACUGCAGAAUAAUUCCAGGCCAAAAUAUGUUAAAUUCAUAACAUGAUGUAUAUCAAAGGAAAAAAGGACAUGUGGAAAUGACACAUUAUCUUCAGUGUAUAAAAUAUUCAUUUAUGUGAAGUUUCUUGGAAAGGCUACACUACUAUUACUGGUUUCCGUCUGAUGUUUGAGAUCUGUUGAUUUUAUGCUUUUCUUACAGGCCUUUCAUUAUGAUCUUUGGGAAGGAAUCAAUAAAAUGAUAGGGCCUACUUCAUUAGGUGUGGUUCAUUCCUAUUCAUGCUCCCUGGAAGAACAAGAAUGCUGAAUUUUGAAAUUUAAUAUUGUAUGAAUUAGCAUCAGGGAGAGGUGGAGAAAAAUACAAAACUAAAAGUCAUGCUUAUUGUGUUCAGUGUGCCCUUCUCCAGAGGGCCACUGGCUUAUAGGAAAGGAUUGCUGCUCUACCAGUUGACCAGGAGAUGGCACGCCAGGACAUUAAGACACUGGAGUUUUGUUUCGUUUUUUUUUUUUUUUUGAGAUGGAGUCUCGCUCUCUUGACAGGCAGGAGUACAGUGGUGCGAUCUCGGCUCACUGCAAACUCCGCCUCCCGGGUUCAAGUGAUUCUCCUGCCUCAGCCUCCCGAGUAGCUGGGACUACAGGCGUGUGCCACCACCCCCAGCUAACUUUUGUAUUUUUAGUAGAGACAGGGUUUCACCAUGUUAGCCAGGAUGGUCUCAAUCUCUUGACCUCAUGAUCCGCCCGCCUCCGCCUUCCAAAGUGCUGGGAUUACAGGCGUGAGCCAGUGUGCCCGGCCGACACUGGGCUUUUUAUGAGAGUGACAGAUUACUAGGACCUCAUUAUGUGGUAGAAGUAAUGUAGGGGAAAUGGCGAUUAUCUUUUUUUAAAAGCAAUAGCUGUUGUAUAUCAAUGAUAAAUGAAAAAUUAGUUAUUCUUGUAAAUUGAAGAAAGAAUGGUUAUCAUAGAGGGUAGUUCAAGUAAAAGAACCAGGGCUGGGUGUGGUGGCUCACGUUCUGUAAUCCCUGUACUUUGGGAGGCCAAGGCAGAUGGAUCUCUUGAGGCCAGGAGUUCGAGACCAGCCUGACCAACAUGGCAAAACCGUGUCUCUACAAAAAAUACAAAAAUUAGCCGGACAUCGUGGUAGAUGCCUGUAAUCUCAGAUAUUCAGGAGACCGAGGGGAAAAUCACUUGAACCCGGGAGACGGAGGUUGCAGUGAGCUGAGAUCGCACCACUGCUCGCCAGCCUGGGCAACAGAGUGAGACUCUGCCUCAAAAAAAAACCAAACCAAACCAAAGAACCAGAAUAGCAUGUGCACAUAUACACAGACGUUUCACAACUGGCAUUAUGUUUUGCUACUGUUUUAUUUACAAUGUAUCACAAGUUUUAUGCUUUAAUAAAAUUUAAUCAUAACUUCUAAUGAAUCAUGUUUCUUCUGCCACCACAGUUUUAUCUCACCUCAGUUGGGUAUUUCAUAACAGAUAGUAAUAGUGCACCAUUAGGCUCUCUAGGUUGAAGGAGUCUUGCAGGGGAACAUGAGGUUUGUGCUUUAACUGUGGCAACUGACAUCCAGUAUCCUCCCCUUUAAUUUGUUCUCAUCCAAAACUAAUCCAUCUGUUUUUCUUUAAUAAGUGAUUUUUCAAGUUUGCACUUACUUUUUCCUUUACAUUACACUUUAAGUAAGAGUCACUGUUAUUAGUGCUUUAUGUGUAAUAACAACCUGUGAGAUAAGUACUGAUGUUAUUCACAUAUCACAAACGAGGAAACUUAGGGCCAAGAUGCUUUAAGGACUCAUCCACAUCCCUGUAAGUGGGUGAAUCAGGAUUCACGUUUGGCUGCAAAGAUGAGUGAUAUAGUUUGGAUCUGUGUCCCUGCCCAGAUUUCCUGUCAAAUGGUAAUCCCCAGUGUUGGAGGUGGGACCUGAUGGGAGGUGAUUGGAUCAUGGGGGCAGAUUCCCCUGUGGUGCCGUUCUUGUGAUGGUGAGUUCUCAUGAGAUCUGGUUGUGUAAAAGUGUGUGGCACCUCCCCCUCUCUCUCUUCCUUCUGCUCUGGUCAUGUGAAGUGCCUGCUCCCACUUUGCCUUCCGCAAUCAUUCUAAGUUUCCUGAGGCCUACUCAGGAGCUGAGCAGAUGCCAGCAUCAUACUUCCUGUACAGCAUGCAGAACUGUGGCCAAUUAAACCUCUUUUCUUCAUAAAUUACCCAAUAUCAGGUAUUUACCCAAUAUCAGGUAUUUCUUCAUAGCAGUGCAAGAAUGGACCAAUACAAUGAAUGUGUUAACCAUGGCGAUCCACUAACAUGGCUAGUUUUCUUUUCUUUCU
rnacentral:lncRNA from 1 species